rnacentral:rRNA from 1 species
GACGAACGCUGGCGGCGUGCUUAACACAUGCAAGUCGAACGAUGAAGCGGUGCUUGCACCGUGGAUUAGUGGCGAACGGGUGAGUAAUACGUGAGUGACCUACCUUUGACUCUGGGAUAAGCCUGGGAAACUGGGUCUAAUACCGGAUACGACCAAUCUCUGCAUGGGGUGUUGGUGGAAAGCGUUAUGGGGUGGUUUUAGAUGGGCUCACGGCCUAUCAGCUUGUUGGUGAGGUAAUGGCUUACCAAGGCGACGACGGGUAGCCGGCCUGAGAGGGUGACCGGCCACAAUGGGACUGAGACACGGCCCAGACUCCUACGGGAGGCAGCAGUGGGGAAUAUUGCACAAUGGGCGCAAGCCUGAUGCAGCGACGCCGCGUGAGGGAUGACGGCCUUCGGGUUGUAAACCUCUGUUAGCAUCGAAGAAGCGAAAGUGACGGUAGGUGCAGAGAAAGCGCCGGCUAACUACGUG